UACGGAGGAUGCGAGCGUUAUCCGGAUUUAUUGGGUUUAAAGGGUGCGUAGGCGGCCUUGUAAGUCAGCGGUGAAAUUUUGCAGCUUAACUGUAAAAGUGCCGUUGAUACUGUGAGGCUAGGAUUUGGUUGCUGUGGGUGGAAUGUGUGGUGUAGCAGUGAAAUGCUUAGAGAUCACACAGAAUAUCGAUUGCGAAGGCAGCUCACAAAGCCAAGAUUGACGCUGAGGCACGAAAGUGUGGGGAUCAAACA
rnacentral:rRNA from 1 species